UAUUGAAUAGGUAUAGAUGAAAUUUCAAAACAUAGGGGUCAUAUUUCUAAGUAAUAUAAUUAGUCUUUCAACACUGCAUACCAUAGCUUCAUGGAGUUACUUGACAUUUAGUAUAAAGUAAAAUAGAAGUGAAAGACAUUACUUAAUUUUCCUUAAGGACUUGCUAAGGACAGUUUCAAAAAUGAAACCUUUCAUUUUGUGUCUAAUUUCAGCAAUUUUUGCGAUAGCUUCAGCUCAAUAUCAAUGUGCUGAAGACAGAGGUCAAUAUCCGAGUAACUGUGUAAGAUGUAUUCGUACUUGUGAUGAGUAUUAUGAUGAGUACUGUAAUGGACCAUACGGUUGUGCUGCUUACUGCCGAAGUGGAUGUGAUUGCAAAGACCCUAAUCAAUAUAUACGUCGCGAUGGUUACUGUGUAACCCCCGACUUGUGCAAAGCAUAUCGGAACAAUUGAUGAUUACCAUAGAUGUUUCUGACUUCACAAAUGAAAAUAAUAUGUACCUGGAAUGUACCCAUGUAAGAGCAAAGAAAUAAUAAAGGGUUGCUAUCUUGAAA